CAUUCCCUGAUCCCCAGCAUCAUGGAAUAUCCGUACAUCCGGCCUACGGUCAAGACACGUCAUCACUUGGGACCGGUCCGACGAGAUGCCCCGUGCUACCGCCCUCACGGCAUCGGAAUCCCACAUGAGUGAGUGUCCACGUCAGCAGCACUGGCGGCGCCACCUCUGCAAACUAUAAAAACUGCCUCCGCUCUCUCCCCAGAAGCCUUCCCUCUUUCUGUUGGUAUAAUUCUAUACACAGAUACGAUUCUUCUACGUAGAACACGCAGCGGGCGGAGCCGGAGGGCCAGAGGAUAUGCGAAGCUGCUGGGCCGGCCGGAGUGACUCGUCCGAGAAUUCAAGGGCAUGUCGACGGAGAGACUCAUCCCCAACAGAAUGGCCAAAUCACACUCGAUGCAUUUGCCGCACGCCAGCUCCCAGCGCCACUGCGCCGCCGACGCCGAGUCUAACUGGAUCUUCGAUGAGCUGCCGAAGGCCACCAUCUUGUCCGUCUCCAAGCCCGACCCGGCGGAUUUCAGCCCCAUUCUCCUCUCUUACACCAUCGAAGUUCAGUACAAGCAGUUUAAAUGGUGCCUUUACAAGAAAGCUUCACAAGUCCUCUUUCUGCACUUCGCUUUGAAGAAGCGUGCAUUUAUCGAGGAACUUCAUGAGAAGCAAGAGCAGGUUAAAGAAUGGCUCCAAAGCUUAGGAAUUGUAGAUCAGAUGGCAGUAGUGCCAGAUGAUGAUGAACCCGAUGAUGGCGCUGUACCGGUGAAUCAUGCGGAAAGGACUAAAAACAGGUAUGUUCCAUCAAGGGCUGCUUUGCCAAUCAUACGUCCAUCACUGGGGAAGCAGCAAACAAUUUCAGACAGGGCAAAGGUGGCAAUGCACAAUUACCUGAAUCACUUUCUCGGGAACCUGGACAUCGUGAAUUCUCGGGAGGUCUGCAAAUUCCUCGAGGUCUCUAAACUCUCAUUCUCAUUGGAAUAUGGCCCAAAGCUAAAAGAAGGCUAUGUGUUUGUGAAGCACUUGGGAAAGAUUUCCCGAGUCAAUGAGGAUGUCGGUUGUUUACCUUGUCUAUGGUUUGGGUUCUGCAGUAACAACUGGCAGAAGGUUUGGGCAGUACUGAAAUCCGGGUUUCUGGCACUUCUUGCGGACCCUUUUGAUCCAGAACCAUUGGACAUAGUUGUUUUCGAUAUAUUACCAGGUUCUAAUGGAAAAGAAAUGUCUGGGACUUACUUAGCGGACCAGAUUAAGGAACGAAAUCCUCUUUACUAUUACUUUAAGGUUUCUUGUGGGAAUCGGUGCAUAAACUUAAGAACUACCAGUAGUGGUAAAGUGAAGAGUUGGGUUUCUGCAAUUAAUAAUGCAGCCCAGAAGCCUCCUGAAGGAUGGUGCAACCCUCAUCGGUUCGGUUCAUAUGCACCACCUCGGGGCCUGACUGAAGAUGGAAGUCAAGCUCAGUGGUAUAUAGACGGGGAGGCAGCUUUCGAAGCCAUUGCAUCUGCAAUAGAAGAAGCAAAAUCCGAGAUUUUCGUGACGGGCUGGUGGCUUUGCCCGGAACUCUAUCUAAGGCGUCCUUUUCAAAGUCAGUCUUCCGUGAGACUAGAUGCUUUGCUCGAAGCAAAAGCUAAGCAGGGAGUUCAGAUUUACAUUCUUCUCUACAAGGAGGUCCCGCUUGCUCUAAAGAUCAAUAGUUUUUACAGUAAGAAGAAGCUCCUCGGAAUUCAUGAGAACGUGAGGGUACUGCGAUGCCCUGAUCAUUUCUCCACGGGCAUUUAUCUAUGGUCUCACCAUGAAAAACUAGUCAUUGUUGAUUACCGGGUAUGCUUUCUUGGGGGGCUAGACUUAUGCUUCGGGCGUCACGAUACGACAGAACACAAAGUGGGUGAUUGUCCUCCAGUUUUGUGGCCAGGAAAGGACUAUUACAAUCCGAGAGAAUCAGAACCAAAUUCCUGGGAGGAAACAGCAACAGAUGAACUUGACCGGGAGAAAUAUCCACGGAUGCCAUGGCACGAUGUUCACUGUGCCCUAUGGGGGCCACCCUGUCGUGACGUUGCUAGGCAUUUUGUUCAGCGUUGGAAUCAUGCGAAGAGAAACAAAGCACCAAACGAGCAAACAAUCCCGCUUCUCAUUCCUCAGCACCACAUGGUCAUCCCUCACUACAUGGGAAGAACCACUGAGAUAGACAUUAAAAGUGAGAACAACACGGAAGAGAACCAGGACAACAUCAUGAGACCAAAUAUUUUUUCCUCGCCAUCCCUCCUGCAAGGCAUCCCGCUUCUUCUACCUCAGGAAGCUGAGCACCCAAACAAUGAUUUAAAUUCCGACCAUAAGUUGAACCAUCACAAGGAACCUUCUGCAUGCUGUGAAAGCUUUUUGCUGAGCUGCAAGAAGUCGAAAGUCGAGGGUGCAGUUCACAAUACUCAACUGAGAGGCUUUGUAGAUGAUGUUGAAGAUCAAUGCGACGAUCCCGAAGAAUCCAUAGAGUGCAGGAUGAAAAUAAAGGAUGAGCGCUUGCGCACACCCAAAGAAAGCGAUGAUGAUGAUCUUUUCAGCGGCGGGUUGAAAGAAGUAGGCCCGAGGACCUCUUGUCGCUGUCAAGUCGUUAGAAGCUCAAGCCAGUGGUCUGCUGGAAUAAGUCAAACUGAAGACAGCAUUCAGAAGGCUUACUGUCUGCUCAUCGAAAGGGCAGAGCACUUCAUCUACAUCGAGAACCAAUUUUUCAUUUCAGGCCUUUCGGGAGAUGAAGUAAUACAGAAUCGUGUCCUAGAUGCCCUAUACAAGCGCAUCAUGAGAGCACACAAAGAGCAGAGGUGUUUCAGGGUAGUUAUCGUCAUUCCACUAUUACCUGGCUUCCAGGGGGGUCUUGAUGAUAGCGGGGCCGCGACAGUUCGAGCCAUUAUUCACUGGCAAUAUCGAACUAUCAGCAGGGAGAAAACAUCGAUACUGCAUCACCUUAAAAUAUUGCUUGGAGAUAAAGUACAUGAUUAUAUAUCCUUCUACGGUCUACGAUCUUAUGGCAGACUCUGUGAAGGUGGACCCGUCGCAACUAGUCAGGUUUAUGUGCACAGCAAGGUUAUGAUAAUAGACGAUCGAGCUGCCUAUGUUGGAUCAUCAAACAUUAAUGAUCGGAGUUUGCUUGGAUCAAGAGACUCUGAGAUUGGGGUGAUCGUCGAAGAUAAAGAGUUUGUUGAGUCAUCAAUGAAUGGAGAGCCUUGGAAGGCAGGGAUGUUUUCCCACAGUCUUCGGUGUUCCUUGUGGGCUGAACAUCUGGGACUCAACGGUGGAGAGAUUUGUCAAAUAAGGGAUCCAAUAGCUGAUGCAACUUACAAAGAUUUGUGGCUGUCAACUGCUAAGGCAAAUAGCGACAUCUAUGAUGAUGUCUUUGCUUGCAUUCCCAAUGAUAACAUCCGUUCGAGAGCUGCGCUGAGACAAAGCAUGGCAUACUGGAAGGAGAAGAUCGGGCACACAACCAUCGAUCUAGGAAUAGCCCCUGAGAAGCUAGAAUCCGAACACGGAGGAGGAACUGAAGGCAUCGACCCGAUGGAGAGACUCAGAAGGGUCAGGGGACAUCUAGUUACCUUUCCCUUGGAAUUCAUGUCUCAAGAAUCCGACUUGAGACCAGUAUUCAAUGAGAGCGAGUUCUACGCAGGCCCUCACGUGUACCACUGAUAUAAGUUAUACCCGUGGGUCCGAAAGAAAGAAUUCAAUAGGUUAUUUUAGUUGAAGCAAUUGUACAGCGAUUGUUUAGCAGCACGGAUUAGGAUUGACCGAUUGAUUGGCUUGAUUGAGGAAAACAUUAGACGCUAACAGGAAAUCGAUAUUAGGGCCAGACUUAACACAACAAAGGCCACAUUGGCGUGAUAUUUAUGUACAGGAAUUAGAAGUAUAUUCUAUACUUGUAUAUAUGCAAACAUCAGUAUUUAUUCUUCCACCUCAAGGUUUCAUUGGGGUUAAGGGUCGCGAUUACAUCCCGGUCCAUCCAAUGGAUAGCGUUUCUUUGAUCUACAACUCACCAAGCAUGACAUAUGAUGAUGACUUUCAUGCCUCAAACAAUUGCAGCCAAAUCCUAAGUCUGAGGAGCGAGCAUGGGCAUCCGAGUUGGUCUUUGGGAGCAAUGGGAACACUAAGUCGGACCGUCUACCAUUCGAAAACAACCGAAUAUAUCACAAACUAGAGAAUUUUCAUUUAUAAAAGGUUUCGAGUAUAUAUACCCGAAUUAGAAAGACGAUGCAGUAGUCAUCCGGGGCACUUGGCUUCGGUAAGCUUACUGCAUAUGCUUCGAGAAUUAGUCCCGAAUCUCUCCAUCCGAGUAUCGGUCUAAGUCCAUCACUGUCAUUGCCAGGGAAAGUGAAAGAGCAAAAAGCCCGUGGGCUCCGUCACUGGGCCAUCCUGCCAUGAACGGGCUUUUGACGUGGAGGGGCUCUGCUCCUGACGACGCAAGCGGAGAAGUGAAAGCUGCCAUCGUCGAGGGGGUUGGAGCUCAGCGAUGGAGUCUGCGGUGAAAUCAGGAGCACUGCUAUCUCUCGAGGACCUCCACCCGUCUUCCCCAUUUUUCGCCGACGGGUCGUCGCUCAGAUUGAUGAACAAACCCACUUGCAACCUCACUGGAAAGCUCGGGUGGCAUGAUCAUGGCUACAAGAGUAUUCUUCGGAAACGGCUUUGGCAAUUAUAGUUGAUGGAAGUGCCAAGCUGAAGGUGAACACAAACCAUCUGAGGGACCUCAGCUUUCGAGCCGGUUCAAUCUACCAAUUCAUCGGCAAUCUUGCAGGCUCGCGUGGGUAGGAAUGUGGAUGGGAUCGAUCUCAACCUCUAUCAUCAGUCUCUACAGCUCGUGAGACAGUUUCAGGCUGAGCGAACGGGCAACCGCAUGGCCCAAUGAAGCUGUAAACUGCAAUGGGUGAUGACUGGUGGGAUUUUUGUGAAGAAAGCUACUGAAUUAGAUGAGCACUGAGCAUUAUAAUUAUAACAAGUUUCUGCAAAGUCUUGUUACCAUUC